UACAGAGGGUGCGAGCGUUGUUCGGAAUUACUGGGCGUAAAGCGCGCGCAGGCGGCUUUUUAAGUCCGACGGUGAAAUGCCGGGGCUCAACCCCGUGCCCGCCGCGGAUACUGGGAAGCUGGAGACAUGUAGAGGCAAGCGGAAUUCCGGGUGUAGCGGUGGAAUGCGUAGAGAUCCGGAAGAACACCGGAGGCGAAGGCGGCUUGCUGGGCAUGGUCUGACGCUGAGGCGCGAAAGCGUGGGGGGCGAACAGG
rnacentral:rRNA from 1 species